ensembl:snoRNA
ACCAUAACAAAACAAAACAAAAUCAUUACUUAAGAAAUGUUUUCUAAUGGAGAGACGGGAAGGCCUUCCUCAUGAACAGCAGACAGGCCCAAAGGGGCUUCUCUGUUCCUAGGAGUCAGACGGCU